GAAAAAGCCAUAGUAGAGAGCCUUAGCACAGGGAAGAGAAAUACAGACUGGUGGCUAAUGAUGAAUCUGUUAUAAAAGCUACAUUACUAUGAUGUCCACUCAGUAAAGAAGUUAUGCUCCAGGACAGAACAAACUCCACAAAUAAAGGAAGAGAAGAGGCCUCAUCAAAGAAGGUGUCAUAUAUUCAAGGCGGAGCCAAGAUGGUGGAACAGCAUGGAAGUUUUUUGUGUGUGUCACAUCCAUGAAAUACAGCUAGACCAACACUAAACCAUCUUGCACA